ACACAACUUUUUUUAGGCCGUAUUGAUGUAACGUCAUUAGUCGGGCGGAUCCUGGCAUUCAUUGCAUUCAGACAUAGUAGGAUGAUACUCCUCAAUCUGAAUCACGCUCUCCGAUAUACCGAACUUCUUUCGGACUAUGCGGGUACUUAUCCUCAGCACAUCCAUUGGAUCUCUGUCCUUCUCUGUGUAUAUGAAGGAAAAAUCUGACAUUUGACGCCGAAUUUCAUGAGGAUAUGUACAUAAAUAUAUGACACAUAAAGGCAAAAAUUGAUGCAGAAUUUGAAAGUUCUAAUACCUUGAACCAGAUGAUAAUGGCCGCAAUCAGCACCCCGAGGCUCUGCACCAGGUCCCCGAGGACGUGGAUAAAGGCUGCUCGGACGUUGAUAUUCUUCUCCUUCUUGUGGGAAUGACCAUGGUCAUUUUUCUCGACGUCGUGAACGUUUUGAUUGGAUAUGGCUCCGUAUUCCACCAGCUUCUGUUUGUCGUCUAGCAGGUGCUUGUCUGUUUCAUGAGAGUUAUCCUCGUUCUGACUUUGGUGGCCACUGUCCGUUGGAGUGUAGGUCGGGGAACCACCAUGAGAGUGGUGGUGGUGGUGGCCUGGCUGGUGGAGCGUGGCGCCCAUGCUGAAAGAUUAUUGAAACCAGCCUUUUUAUUUAAUUUAAAUUAAGCACGAAGCUAGAGUUCUAAAUUAAAGCUCUGAAAAAGUUCAUAGCAGAAAAACGCUGUCUUUAUCGCAACAAUUAAUAUGGAAACAUUAAUAUUUAUAUAUAGGACAUGUUUGCAAGAACUAAACUUUCCACAUUUGCAGAAUCGUAUAGUGUAUACAUGUACACUUUUUGGGCUAAAAAUGUUCUUCAUAAACAUAUAGUUACAUGUAUCUUUUAAAAAAAAAUGAUAUUCGAGGGGACCGGAUAAGAUGUAAAUUAUUGCGCAAGGGAUACCAGAAAAAUUCAAAAAUAUUGAAAUCAUAAUUUAAUAUAAAAACGGCCUUACAUGACGUUGAUGACCACGCCGACGGACGCCGUGAUCAGCAUGAUGAGAGGGUCUAUGGUGUAGUCUGGGUUGAUGAUCCUCUCCACACCCAGGUAAACUAGCACGCCGGUCAGUAUCCAUAGAAACAAAAUGGACACCAAGGCACCGAUGAUUUCUGAUAUUAAUGUAGAGCUUAUAUAUACUUUAAGCAAGUUAUAAGAUUUUCGUUAUCAGUGUAAUUCAUGUAAUUGAAGUCAGUGUAAUUCAUGAAGUUGAUGUCUUUAACGUAUCAGACAUAUCAAUGUUAUAAAGGAAAUAUCUG
rnacentral:sRNA from 1 species